UAACAGGAUUCCCCUAGUAACUGCGAGUGAAGCGGGAAAAGCUCAAAUUUAAAAUCUGGCAGUUUUGCUGUCCGAGUUGUAAUCUGGAGAUGUGUUUUCCGCGUUGGACCGUGUACAAGUCUCUUGGAAUAGAGCGUCAUAGAGGGUGAGAAUCCCGUCCAUGACACGGACUACCAAUGCUUUGUGAUACACUUUCUAAGAGUCGAGUUGUUUGGGAAUGCAGCUCAAAAUGGGUGGUAAAUUCCAUCUAAAGCUAAAUAUUGGCGAGAGACCGAUAGCGAACAAGUACCGUGAGGGAAAGAUGAAAAGCACUUUGGAAAGAGAGUUAAACAGUACGUGAAAUUGUUGAAAGGGAAACGCUUGAAGUCAGUCGCGUUUUGCUAGACUCAGCUUUGCUUCGGCUUAGUGUAUUUCUAGUCAGACGGGUCAACAUCAAUUUUGGUCGGUGGAAAAAGGCUUGAGAAAUGUAGCGUGCCCUCUGGAUGCGUGUUAUAGACUCUUGCUGUAUACACUGGCUGGGAUUGAGGACUGCAGCACGCCUUUAUGGCCAGGGUUCGCCCAUGUAACGUGCUUAGGAUGUUGACAUAAUGGCUUUAAGCGACCCGUCUUGAAACACGGACCAAGGAGUCUAACGUGCCUGCGAGUAUUAGGGUGGAAAACCCUUGUGCGUAAUGAAAGUGAAAGUUGGGAACUCUCGCAAGGGAGUGCACCGACGCCCGGCCCUGAAGUUCUCUGACGGUGCUGCGGUAGAGCAUGUAUGUUGGGACCCGAAAGAUGGUGAACUAUGCCUGAAUAGGGUGAAGCCAGAGGAAACUCUGGUGGAGGCUCGUAGCGAUUCUGACGUGCAAAUCGAUCGUCAAAUUUGGG
rnacentral:rRNA from 1 species